CUACGUGCCAGCAGCCGCGGUAAUACGUAGGUCCCGAGCGUUGUCCGGAUUUAUUGGGCGUAAAGCGAGCGCAGGCGGUUAGAUAAGUCUGAAGUUAAAGGCUGUGGCUUAACCAUAGUACGCUUUGGAAACUGUUUAACUUGAGUGCAGUAGGGGAGACUGGAACUCCUGGUGUAGCGGUGGAAUGCGCAGAUAUCAGGAAGAACACCGAUGGCGAAGGCAGGUCUCUGGGCUGUAACUGACGCUGAGAAGCGAAAGCAUGGGGAGCGAACAGGAUUAGAUACCCUGGUAGUCCGCACAGUAAACGAUGGAUGCCCGCUGUUGGUACCUAGUAUCAGCGGCUAAGCGAAAGCAUUAAGCAUCCCACCUGGGGAGUACGCCGGCAACGGUGAAACUCAAAGGAAUUGACGGGGGCCCGCACAAGCGGUGGAGCAUGUGGUUUAAUUCGAAGCAACGCGAAGAACCUUACCAGGUCUUGACAUCCCUCUGACCGCUCUAGAGAUAGAGUUUUC
rnacentral:rRNA from 1 species